UGUCUGAAAGCUUUGGACUGAAGCAGUGGAUUUUUAACCCACAGAAGAAAUUAUUCUCAGACUA
rnacentral:tRNA from 1 species